rnacentral:rRNA from 1 species
UAAUACAGAGGGUGCGAGCGUUAAUCGGAAUUACUGGGCGUAAAGGGCGCGUAGGUGGUUAAUUAAGUCAGAUGUGAAAUCCCCAGGCUUAACCUGGGAAUUGCAUAUGAAACUGAUUGGCUAGAGUACGGGAGAGGGAAGUGGAAUUUCCGGUGUAGCGGUGAAAUGCGUAGAUAUCGGAAGGAACACCAGUGGCGAAGGCGACUUCCUGGCCCGUUACUGACACUGAGGCGCGAAAGCGUGGGGAGCGAACAGGAUUAGAUACCCUGGUAGUCCACGCUGUAAACGAUGAGAACUAGAUGUUAGGGGGCUUAGACCUUUUAGUAUCGCAGCAAACGCGUUAAGUUCUCCGCCUGGGGAGUACGGCCGCAAGGUUA